rnacentral:rRNA from 1 species
UACAGAGGUCCCAAGCGUUGUUCGGAUUCACUGGGCGUAAAGGGUGCGUAGGCGGUCGGGUAAGUCUGACGUGAAAUCUCCAAGCUCAACUUGGAAAUGGCGUCGGAUACUGGAUGGCUUGAAUUCGGGAGAGGGAUGCAGAAUUCCAGGUGUAGCGGUGAAAUGCGUAGAUAUCUGGAGGAAUACCGGUGGCGAAGGCGGCAUCCUGGACCGACAUUGACGCUGAGGCGCGAAAGCCAGGGGAGCAAACGGG